CCUACGGGAGGCAGCAGUGAGGAAUAUUGGUCAAUGGCCGGAAGGCUGAACCAGCCAUGCCGCGUGAAGGUCAGUGCCCUAUGGGCGUUAAACUUCUUUUGUGCGGGAGCAAUAAUGGUCACGUGUGGCCAGACGAGAGUACCGUACGAAUAAGCAUCGGCUAACUCCGUGCCAGCAGCCGCGGUAAUACGGGGGAUGCAAGCGUUAUCCGGAUUUAUUGGGUUUAAAGGGUGCGUAGGCUGUGAGGUAAGUCAGAGGUGAAAUGCCCCCGCUCAACGGGGUGAAGUGCCAUUGAUACUGCCUGGCUGGAAUGCGGAUGCCGUGGGAGGAAUGUGUGGUGUAGCGGUGAAAUGCAUAGAUAUCACACAGAACACCGAUUGCGAAGGCAUCUCACGAAUCCGCGAUUGACGCUGAUGCACGAAAGCGUGGGUAUCAAACAGGAUUAGAUACCCUAGUAGUC
rnacentral:rRNA from 1 species